rnacentral:lncRNA from 1 species
AACCGAGCAUCGUAUGUUCUGACUCAUAAGUGGGAGCUAAGCUAUACGAAUGCAAAGGUAUAAGAAUGAUACAAUGGAUUUUGGGGACUUAGCAGGGGAAAGGUGGGAAGGGGGUGAGGGAUAAAAGGCUACACAUUAGGUACAAUGUACACUGCACCAAAAUCUCACAAGUCACCACUAAAGAACUUACUCAUGUAACCAAAUACUACCUGUUCCCCAAAUUUCAUGGUUUAUAUGUAGAACAUUUUCUUUAUCCAAUCUACCAUCAAUGGACACCUAGGUUGAUUCCAUGUCUUUGCUAUUGUGAAUAGUGGGGUGAUGAACACAUGUGAGUACAUGUGUCUUGUUGGUAUAAUGAGCUAUUUUCCUUUGGGAAUAUACCCAGUAAUGAGAUCACUGGGUCAAAUGGUAGCUCUGUUUUAAGUUCUUUGAGAAAUCUCCAAACUGCUUUCUACGGUGGUUGAACUAAUUUACGUUCCCACCAACAAUGUGUAAGUGUUCCCUUCUCUCCACAGCCUCUCCAGCAUCUGUUGUUUUUUGGCUUUUUAAUAGUGGCCAUUCUGACUGGUGCGAGAUGGUAUCUUGUUAAGGUUUUGAUUUGCAUUUCCCUCACAAUCAGUGAUGAUGAGCAUUAUCUUUCAUAUGUGCGUUGACCAUUUGUACGUCUUCUUUUGAGAAGUGUCUGUUCAUGUCCUUUGCCUGUUUUUAAAUGGAGUUAUUUGGUUUUGGCUUGUUGGUUUGUUUAAGUUCCUUACAGACUCUGGAUAUUAGACCUUUGACAGAUGCAUAGUCUGCAAAUAUUUUAUCCCAUUCUGUAGGUUGUGUGUGUACAGUUUUGUGCAUACAGUUCUAAGUGUACAGUUCAGUGACAUUAAGUACAUUCACAAUGUUGUGCAACCAUCCCCACCAUCCAUUCACAGAACUUUUUUGUCUUCCUAAACUAAAACUCCAUACCCAAUAAACACUAACUCCCCACCACUUCUCCCCCCAGCCUCUGGUAACCUCUAAUCUACUUUCUGUUUCCAUGAGUUUACUCUAGCUACCUCAUUUGGGUGGAAUCACACAGUAUUUGUCCUUUUGUGUCUGGCUUACUUCACUUAGCAUAAGGUCUUCAAGGUUCAUGCAUAUCGUAGCAUGUGUUUGAACCUCACUCCUUUUUAAGGAUCAAUAAUAUUCAAUUGAAUGUAUAUACACAUUUUGUUUAUCCAUUUAUCCAUUAAUGGACAUUUGGGUUAGUUUGACCUUUUGGUGUAGCAUGCUGUUUUUUAUUGAUAGUUUUCAGCAGGGCUUAGGAGGCAAGCUUACUCCACAACAGAAGGGAUAAAGAACAUCUAUGUAACAGUGAAGAUUCACAAAGUUCAAAUGUGGAUGAGACUCAAAAUUGUUCUUCCAUAUCUAUUCUGCUUCCUUCUAUGGGAAUAUAACUUUUAGGAAUUUUAGAUCACGUUUCCCAGACUCUUGUAACUAAGUAUGACCAUAUGACUACAUUCUGUCUACUGGAAUAUGAAUAGACGUUGAUAAGUGCAAUUUCCAAGUCAUGCUUUUAGAAGGAAGAGGCAUGCACUUCCCUUCCCCCUUUCCCCCUCUUGCUAGCUGGAAUGCAGAUGCGAUGGCAAUUGCUAGAGCAGCCAUUAUGGACCAUGAGAUGAGAGCUACAUGUUGAAGAAGGCAGAGCAAUGAUACAAAAGGAACCUUGGUUCCCAACCUAUAAAGCUGUCAUGUGAAGUCUGGAUCACUUAUGCCCAGCUUGCUACAUGAGACAGAAAUAAACCUCUAUCUUGUUUAAGCCACUAUUAUUUUGGGUCUCUCCAAUCCAACAGAGAAACCAGUAGACCAACUAUUAUUUCAGUGAAUGCUGAGUUACC